rnacentral:rRNA from 1 species
UACGUAGGGUGCAAGCGUUGUCCGGAAUUAUUGGGCGUAAAGAGCUCGUAGGCGGUUUGUCGCGUCUGCUGUGAAAACCGGAGGCUCAACCUCCGGCCUGCAGUGGGUACGGGCAGACUAGAGUGCGGUAGGGGAGAUUGGAAUUCCUGGUGUAGCGGUGGAAUGCGCAGAUAUCAGGAGGAACACCGAUGGCGAAGGCAGAUCUCUGGGCCGUAACUGACGCUGAGGAGCGAAAGCGUGGGGAGCAAACAGG